rnacentral:rRNA from 1 species
UACGGAGGGUGCAAGCGUUAUCCGGAUUCACUGGGUUUAAAGGGUGCGUAGGUGGGUUGGUAAGUCAGUGGUGAAAUCUCCGUGCUUAACAUGGAAACUGCCAUUGAUACUACUGAUCUUGAAUUUUCAGGAGGUAAGCGGAAUAUGUCAUGUAGCGGUGAAAUGCUUAGAUAUGACAUAGAACACCAAUUGCGAAGGCAGCUUACUACAGGAAUAUUGACACUGAUGCACGAAAGCGUGGGGAUCA